GAGGAAGGAUGGGGGAAAGCUGGGUUGCGCUCUAGGCCUUGACACUUCCUGCCUUUGUAGUGUUAGGCAAACAUGGCAACCCCAGAAAACUCAGCUGCCUCAGUUUUAAGGCAUGCAGGGUCUUUGUGAGGACCAUAUAAGCCACGUGGAGGGGUCUAGACCAAGCAUAGUGCUUGGAAGAAAGGGCGUGUGUGCUAAUGAUUUAUGUCUCUUUUCUUUCUGAGAGUCUUGCUCCCCAACACCAGAGGUGAGACCACCUGGAGUGACCGUCUCUUGACUAAAUAAAAAACCUCUUUCCAAGAAGAUCUAUCCUCCAAGAACCACCUGGAUUCCCCAAGAGAUUCUGGGGUCCCCAAACCUGACCUUGGAGCCUCUUUGAUUUGCAAGAUUGCUUAUUUCCAUUUUAAAGGAAGCAUUUCUAAUUAAGGAAGAGGAAAUUUGGAUAUGUACAGAGGGAAGAUGAUGUGAAAAGGUACAGAGAAGAUGACCUUCUACAAGCCAAGGAGAGGCAUCAGAAGGAACCAAACCUGCACACACCUUGAUUUUGGACUUCCAGGCUCCAGAAUGGUGACAAGAUAAAUUUCUGUUGUUUAACCAUCCAAAUCCUCCUUCUCCUUGUGCUUACCUGUCCUCUUUUUUGCCCCCAAAAGACCCUCCAGCCAGGUGUCUACAUCAGCCCCUGUGACACUUUGGGGGCACACAGAUGUCUUCUCUGUCGAUCCUUUGAGGUCAGGAACUGUGUCUCACUUGUCUUUGAAUCCCCAAAGCCUAGCACAGUGCCAGAUACAUGAUGGGACCUUCAGAAAUGUACCAGGCCAUUUACAUGUGUUCUCUUUAUUCAACCCUUAGAGCAAUGCUAUGAAGCAGACACUAUUCUUAUUUCCAUUUUAUAGCAGAGCAAACUGAGGCUGAGAUAGGUUAUUCAACUGCCUAAUGUCAUAAACUAGUAUAAGUCAAUCUUAAAACUGAGGCUUUCUGACUCCAGUUCUGACAUCAUUCUAGAUCCUGCUGCCACUACAUGGCACCACCCCCAGACUGUAUGAUUUUUGCCCCCAGAGUCUCACCUUGUUUGGGGUUGGACCCUCUUCCCACUGUGAUUUAUUUUCUAAGAACCUGAGAUUUAGUAGAAAAAACAAGGGUUUUGGAGCAAGGGUGUGAAAUUUGAGUUUUGCCUCCAUUACCUGACUCUUUGGACUGUACAACCUCCAUGAUCCUCAGUUUUCCCAUCCACCAGUUUGUUGAUAAAACCUGAUUCUCAGGUAUAUGUACCUUAACAUGCAAAUAUUUUCCUGAGAAAACAAGUCACAAGCAAUUGUGUAAGUGAUUCCAUUCUUAUAAAAAUUAUUAGUAAUAAAUGUUGAUAAAUAUAUAGUAAAGUGCCUUGGGUAUAUCCACCAAAGUAUUAAUAGUGAUUGUCUCUGAAGGUAAAAUGGGGCAUUUUCACCCACAAUAUUGUUUGGUUCUUGUCCCUAUUUUGUGGUCAAGGAAACUGAAGGUUAUGUAACUUGUCCAAGGUCAUGUAUGUAGGGUUAAAAUUUUUUUUAAAAUAAAAUAAGCAUGCAUUAUUUUUAAAAUAAUAAAAGCAAUAAAAA
rnacentral:lncRNA from 10 species